rnacentral:rRNA from 1 species
ACAAGCGGUGAGUAUGUGGUUUAAUUCGACGCAACGCGCAGAACCUUUACCUGGUCUUGACAUCUCGGGAAUCAUUUGGAAACAUAUGAGUGCCUCGCAAGAGGAGCCCGAUGACAGGUGCUGCAUGGCUGUCGUCAGCUCGUGUCGUGAGAUGUUGGGUUAAGUCCCGCAACGAGCGCAACCCUUGUCUUUAGUUGCCAUCAUUAAGUUGGGCACUCUAAAGAGACUGCCGGUGUCAAACCGGAGGAAGGUGGGGAUGACGUCAAGUCCUCAUGGCCUUUAUGACCAGGGCUACACACGUACUACAAUGGCAGGUACAAAGGGCAGCCACUUAGCGAUAAGGCGCGAAUCCCAUAAAACCUGUCUCAGUCCGGAUUGGAGUCUGCAACUCGACUUCAUGAAGGCGGAAUCGCUAGUAACCGCGAAUCAGCAGGUCGCGGUGAAUACGUUCCCGGGCCUU